UCCAUGAUUGUAUAGUUGUUAGUACUCUGCUUUAUGGCCACAGCAAGCCUGGAUCGAAUCCGGGUCACGGCA